GCCGGUUCUCUAAAAAGAGCCGGAAAUCCCAUCACUAGUUGUGUAAUAUGCUGGUAUUGAUAUGAUCAAAAAUGAACUGAGUUGUUUCGUAUUCUAUAGAAAUUGUACAUCUAAUUAAUAACAAGGCUUUCUGCUGAUGUUAUUAAUUAAAAAUGUAUUGUUUUAUUUUUAAGCAACAACUUUUUAGCAUGCAAUCAGUCCAUGCUGUACAGGACAGAUUUGUAAACUGUGCAUACAAAAAUAGACUAUUUUACAAAAUUGCUCAUUCAACAAAUGUAAAUCACAGCAGAUUUUUUUGUUGUAGUGCACUGUCACAACUAGAAAUGUGGGGGGAAGUCCUCAAAAUUGAAGGCAGAACAGGAAAAUACAUGGAAAUAACAAUUUUCCUUUAAGCACAUCAGUAAAGGUCGAUCCAGAUACUUGAUAACUGUUGGUAUAGGUAUGACAUGAAUUUGAAUCUCCAUUAUCACAGGUUUUAAUUGGGAGGCAACAUGCAGAUAUACAGGAGGACUAUAAACAGCAAUUCCUAUUGCAUACAACUGUUUUAGAAAAUACCAACAACACUGUUAAUUUAUCACUUGCUGGUCUAUAGACUUUACAGUGUGGAUGGAUGGAAAAUCCAUCUGGCUCCACUCUGGCUGAAUUGGUGCUACAAACAACUCUGCGCUCGGCUUUCCUGGCUGUGUGUGGAUUUAUACUUACACAUCCAAAUUUUGACCCUAUUUUUCUUCCUUUCAGCUGAUUGGUCAAUUUCAUGUCAAUCACCAAUUAAACAAUCCAAUCAGAGAACAUCUCCAGAAGUUGAUUCUGUUCAUCUGGACGUAGCGUUUUCAGUGGGAGAAAAUGCUGAAAGCGCUACAUCCAGAUGAACAGAAUCAACUUUUGGAGAUUUACUUACCUGGAUGAUUGAGCAUGCAUCAAGACAAUCAGACAACAGAUAGGUUUGGCUGUUGGAGGGCUGCAUUACGGAGCUUCAGGUCCUGGAAGAAUAAAUUCCCUUUUACAUACCAGACCAGCAUUUUUCUUCAUUACCAAGAAGGAAAACAGUUUGUGCGUGUCAGAGUUCAGUGGUUUUUGUGUCACAGGGCUUAUAAUAUGUGUAUAAAUCUGGCCAGGGACCAUCACAUCACACUGCUAUCAUAUUUUUCUGUUGCUAUCAUGUUUCUUUUCUGAGAUGUUGUUACUUUUAUGACAGAUGUAACAAGAAAUCUUCCAGAAAGUUAAAUUUUUUAUUCUAAUCAAAUAUUUGAUUCUGAUAACAGAUAAAGUUUUUUUUUUUACUUUUGUUCUGCUAUGAUAGUUUAUACAAAUUUUGGCCAAUUCCUAUUUAUUUUAACCCUCAGACCCCAAAAGUCACCAGCGACAGGUUUUUCCAAACCUGUCUCGUCAAACCUGAGCUCUACCAGGGGCCCAACACGCCUGGACUUUUAGAAGAAAAGAGAUGUCCAAAAAUAAACCACAGGGUCAAAUACUUGAUUUUGUUCAGUGUUUUAGAGUUAUUAAUUUGAAUUGACUAAUUUAAAUAUUUUAUUCAUGUACAUUUUGAUUGCCUUCAGUAAAAAUGGCAAAAUUUCAAUUUCUUUUUUUUUUUCUGUUAUUAAUCCUUGAUUACAUUCAUAUAGUAUACAGUAGAGGAAAAAACCUACCAGAUGUGUAAAGUAGUAGUAAUACUGAAAAAAGGGACAAAAGCACACACAGUCACAGCUGAUUUUAUGACACUUUUACAGCUAAAACAAUAUAUAAUUCCGGUUAUCCUGCGUAACAUUAUUGGGGAUAAAGGGUUAAGGAACCGCAAUUAAUUUUUUUAGUUUAGCUUGUGUUUACUACCAUAUUUUUUUUUAUCACCACACAGUAAACAUUAAGUAAUAUGUAAAGCGUCCAUUUAUCCUCCAUUCCGGUCCAUUAUCUUAAGCUUAGGCUGCUGCCCCUCAACCCAAUCCGGUACUAAGUAGAGAGGCCCAGACUUCGCUCUCUCCAGGCACUUGGCCCAAGGCAGUCCCAGGCCAGCCGAAAAACAUUGUCCCUCCAGCAUGUCCUGGGUGUUCUGGGUCUCUUCCUGGUGGGACAUGCCCAAAACACCUCACCAGGGAGGCAUCCUAACCAGAUGCCAUUAUCUAAUCUGUCCUUUUUGUAUGUUCCCCUCAGGUUGCCAUGGUAGCAGAUACAGGGGGAACAAGUGUAGACGAUGCCACAAGAAGGAUGAUGAAAUUCCUCAUAUGACCUGAGCUGGCUGUGGAGUACAACAUGCUUGGCCGACAUGGGGAAAAAAAGUUCAGAGAUUUACGUCUUUUUAAUGUUGUGUAUGAGGCACUGAAGAAGAAUUAUUUAACAUCAAAAGUCAACUUGCAAGAAGCAGAGAAGGCUCUCUCCAAGUGGUUCACUGGAGCUAAAGACAGAGGAGGACCGAGGGCUGCAAGGGUACAAAAUAGACUUACGGCUCUGUAAAAAAA